rnacentral:rRNA from 1 species
GACGAACGCUGGCGGCGUGCUUAACACAUGCGAGUCGAACGGUGAAGCUCCAGCUUGCUGGAGUGGAUCAGUGGCGAACGGGUGAGUAACACGUGAGCAACCUGCCCCUGACUCUGGAAUAAGCGCUGGAAACGGCGUCUAAUACUGGAUACGAGAAGGGUCCGCAUGGGCACUUUCUGGAAAGUUCUUCGGUUGGGGAUGGGCUCGCGGCCUAUCAGCUUGUUGGUGAGGUAAUGGCUCACCAAGGCGACGACGGGUAGCCGGCCUGAGAGGGCGACCGGCCACACUGGGACUGAGACACGGCCCAGACUCCUACGGGAGGCAGCAGUGGGGAAUAUUGCACAAUGGGCGAAAGCCUGAUGCAGCGACGCCGCGUGAGGGAUGACGGCCUUCGGGUUGUAAACCUCUUUCAGCAGGGAAGAAGCGAAAGUGACGGUACCUGCAGAAGAAGCACCGGCUAACUACGUG